GGGGGCAUAGCUCAGCGGGAGAGCAUUAGACUGAAGCUCUAUGUGCCCGGGUUCGACUCCCGGUGUCCCCA
rnacentral:tRNA from 1 species